rnacentral:siRNA from 1 species
GAAUAUGAAUGAGCAGGAACCUU